rnacentral:rRNA from 1 species
GACGAACGCUGGCGGCGUGCUUAACACAUGCAAGUCGAACGGAAAGGCCCUGCUUUUGUGGGGUGCUCGAGUGGCGAACGGGGGAGUAACACGUGAGUAACCUGCCCUUGACUGUGGGAUAACUUCAGGAAAAUGGGGCUAAUACCGGAUAGGAGCUCCUGCUGCAUGGUGGGGGUUGGAAAGUUUCGGCGGUUGGGGAUGGACUCGCGGCUUAUCAGCUUGUUGGUGGGGUAGUGGCUUACCAAGGGUUUGACGGGUAGCCGGCCUGAGAGGGUGACCGGCCACCUUGGGACUGAGAUACGGCGCAGACUCCUACGGGAGGCAGCAGUGGGGAACAUUGCAGAACGGGCGGAAGCCUGAUGUAGAAACGUCGCGUGCGGAAAGACGGCCUUCGGGUUGUAAACCGCUUUCGCAUGUGACGAAGCGUUAGUGACGGUAAUGGGUAAAGAAGCACCGGCUAACUACGUG